UACGUAGGGUGCAAGCGUUGUCCGGAAUUAUUGGGCGUAAAGAGCUCGUAGGCGGUCUGUCACGUCGGCUGUGAAAACCCGGGGCUCAACCCCGGGCCUGCAGUCGAUACGGGCAGACUAGAGUGCGGUAGGGGAGACUGGAAUUCCUGGUGUAGCGGUGAAAUGCGCAGAUAUCAGGAGGAACACCGGUGGCGAAGGCGGGUCUCUGGGCCUUACCUGACGCGUGAGGAGCGAAAGGCGUGGGGAGCGAACAGG
rnacentral:rRNA from 1 species